rnacentral:rRNA from 1 species
CCUACGGGUGGCAGCAGUGGGGAAUAUUGCUCAAUGGGGGAAACCCUGAUGCAGCGAAGCCGCGUGAGUGAAGAAGUAUUUCGGUGUGUAAAGCUCUAUCAGCAGGGAAGAAAAUGACGGUACCUGAUUCAGAAUCCCCGGCUACCUACGGGCCAGCAGCCGCGGUACUACGUAGGGGGCAAGCGUUAUCCGGAUUUACUGGGUGUAAAGGGGGCGUAGUCGGCAGCGUAAGGCUGAAGUGAAAUGCCGGGGCUUAACCCCGGAACUGCCUUUGAAACUGUGCAGCUAGAGUGCAGGAGAGGUAAGCGGAAUGCGUAGUGUAGCGGUGAAAUGCGUAGAUAUUAGGAGGAACACCAGUGGCGAAGGCGGCUUACUGGACUGUAACUGACGUUGAGGCUCGAAAGCGUGGGGAGCAAACAGGAUUAGAUACCCCAGUAGUC